GAUGAACGCUGGCGGCGUGCCUAAUACAUGCAAGUCGAGCGAACAGACGAGGAGCUUGCUCCUCUGACGUUAGCGGCGGACGGGUGAGUAACACGUGGAUAACCUACCUAUAAGACUGGGAUAACUUCGGGAAACCGGAGCUAAUACCGGAUAAUAUAUUGAACCGCAUGGUUCAAUAGUGAAAGACGGUUUUGCUGUCACUUAUAGAUGGAUCCGCGCCGCAUUAGCUAGUUGGUAAGGUAACGGCUUACCAAGGCAACGAUGCGUAGCCGACCUGAGAGAGUGAUCGGCCACACUGGAGCUGAGACACGGUCCAGACUCCUACGGGAGGCAGCAGUAGGGAAUCUUCCGCAAUGGGCGAAAGCCUGACGGAGCAACGCCGCGUGAGUGAUGAAGGUCUUCGGAUCGUAAAACUCUGUUAUUAGGGAAGAACAAAUGUGUAAGUAACUAUGCACGUCUUGACGGUACCUAAUCAGAAAGCCACGGCUAACUACGUG
rnacentral:rRNA from 1 species